CUUAUGGAGAGUUUGAUCCUGGCUCAGGACGAACGCUGGCGGCGUGCCUAAUACAUGCAAGUCGAGCGGAUGACGGGGAGCUUGCUCCCCCGAUUCAGCGGCGGACGGGUGANCACGUGGGCAACCUGCCUGUAAGGUCGGGAUAACUCCGGGAAACCGGGGCUAAUACCGGAUGGUUCCUUCC
rnacentral:ncRNA from 1 species